AAUUGAGUCGUCACAUAACACCGUGCACAUUGAGUUCACAAUUAUAUUGAAGGUUUAAAAAGUCGAAUCUUGUUCUUGCGUUGGCGAUGCUCCUUGUGAACAAAUAGGCGCGUGCACAAUGGUGAUGAACCGCCCUUUGGUUGAAAGGUCGGUUGAUGUUGGUUUUUGGUGUUUUAUGAUCAAGGUUCCGAUUGGUGACACAAAGUUUUGUAAAACGGUUCAACACAUAGAAAUGUAAUGUAUUAUGUUUAGAAUUCAAAGUUGUUUUAGAAUCAUUUCUAUCAGUUGAAGCAUGUACAUUAUAUGCCUUUUUAUUUGUAUCGAACAUUCCACAUAUUUGCAACAACUUGUAGAAGAAAACUCUUGACAUGAAUUUAUUUACAUCACC